rnacentral:rRNA from 1 species
AGUUUGAUCCUGGCUCAGGAUGAACGCUGGCGGCGUGCCUAACACAUGCAAGUCAAACGGAGUUCUUAAGGAAUGCUACUUCGGACAAAUGACUUUUGAACUUAAUGGAGGACGGGUGAGUAACGCGUGAGCCACCUGCCUUUCAUAGGGGGAUAACAUUUGGAAACAUAUGCUAAUACCGCAUAAGAUUACAGUACCGCAUGAUACAUUGAUCAAAGGAGCCAUCCGCUGAAAGAUGGGCUCGCGUCCGAUUAGAUAAUUGGUGAGGUAACGGCUCACCAAGUCGACGGAUCGGUAGCCGGACUGAAAGGUUGAACGGCCACAUUGGGACUGAGACACGGCCCAGACUCCUACGGGAGGCAGCAGUGGGGAAUAUUGCACAAUGUGGCGAAAGCCUGAUGCAGCAACUCACGAGUGAGGGAAGACGGUUUUCGGAUUGUAAACCUCUGUUUCUCAGUGACACAACAAAUGACGGUAACCGAGUAGGAAGCCACAGCUAACUACUUGCCAGCAGCCGCGGUAAUACGUAUGUGGCAAGCGUUAUCCGGAAUUACUGGGUGUAAAGGGAGCGCACGCGGGAUAGCAAGCCAGUUGUGAAAACUAUGGGCUCAACCCAUAAACUGCAGUUGAAACUGUUUUUCUUGACUGGAGUAAGAGGCAAGCGGAAUUCCGAGUGUAGCGGUGAAAUGCGUAGAUAUUCGGAGGAACACCAGUGGCGAAGGCGGCUUGCUGGGCUCUAACUGACGCUGAGGCUCGAAAGUGUGGGGAGCAAACAGGAUUAGAUACCCUGGUAGUCCACGCAGUAAACGA